CCUACGGGAGGCAGCAGUGAGGAAUAUUGGUCAAUGGACGGAAGUCUGAACCAGCCAUGCCGCGUGCAGGAAGACGGCUCUAUGAGUUGUAAACUGCUUUUGUACAAGGGUAAACCUGAAUACGUGUAUUCAGCUGAAAGUACUGUACGAAUAAGGAUCGGCUAACUCCGUGCCAGCAGCCGCGGUAAUACGGAGGAUCCAAGCGUUAUCCGGAUUUAUUGGGUUUAAAGGGUGCGUAGGCGGAUUGAUAAGUUAGAGGUGAAAUGUCCGAGCUUAACUCGGGAACUGCCUCUAAUACUGUUGGUCUAGAGAGUAGAUGCGGUAGGCGGAAUGUGUGGUGUAGCGGUGAAAUGCUUAGAGAUCAUACAGAACACCGAUUGCGAAGGCAGCUUACCAAUCUAUAUCUGACGUUGAGGCACGAAAGCGUGGGGAGCAAACAGGAUUAGAUACCCGAGUAGUC
rnacentral:rRNA from 1 species